rnacentral:lncRNA from 1 species
CUGGACCUUUCCUGGAGUUCUGGGUAAUGCUAGAUAAUACUAUUACUGAUGCAUUCCCCCUUUCAUAACUUAUCAAUUUCACAUAGUAAUAAUUUUCCCAUUUUUCCAACAAAUCUAAUGUCCAUAGGCCACGAUCACUAAGGACAGAUUCAGAAUGAUCUGAUCAGGGAACUAUUGGCUAAAACCAGUUUUUCUGUCACAUACAGCGAAAAGGAGAUGGUUUGUGAUUCUGAUGAGAUGGCUCACAAGAAAAAUACACUUGAAAAGUAACAGCAAAGGAGUGAGGCCUGGGUCCAUGGACUGUAGACAAGGAAUAAGGUGCUCCUCAUCCAGGUAUGAAUCCUCUAGGAUCAUGUUUGAAAUUUUAUAUUCAUCCAUAAAUCAUGACCUUCUCACCCUGAGCCCGUGUUGGAACAUCCCAGGGACAGCUCACUCAGGAGCCACAGGGACGCAUCUUUCUCGAGGGAGCCUGUGACGACAGGUCAGGCAGCUGCCUGCAAAAAAAUACACAUGGAUGGAUAGGCUAUAUUUGUCAUUUUUUUAAAAAAAGACGUUUAAUUCCGACCUGCUCAUCCAAGAUGAAAACAUUUCCCAAUUUCUCUACCAGGAUGGUCUUAGUUCAUUAAAAUUGAUCAUUACCUUGUCAAAUUGGUGGCCACCCAGUGGAUUAAUAAAGCUUACUUCAG